GGGCACGCUUCCAGUAGGUUCUGAACUCCAACACAGUUCCGCAGUCGACCUCUGGAGCUGGCUUCUCUUCUCCAACUCAGUGUCGAGAAUAAGAAGUUCAGAACCCAUCCAUCUUCUAUCCCUUAUAUAUAUCACUGUAUCGGCGCGUUCCAUAGCUUGAACUAAAGUGCUGUUCCGAACCUCCGUGCGUAGAUUCACACGUGCAAUCUCCGCUACACACUCUUCUCUCCGUUCGGUAACGAUUGGCAUCAGAAGAUGUCGGGCGGUUUCUUUCGAGGCACAUCGGCGGAUCAAGACACUCGGUUUUCGAACAAGCAAGCGAAGCUGAUGAAAUCGCAGAAGUUUGCACCGGAACUGGAGCAUCUGGUGGACAUGACGAAGGUGAAUAUGGAAGUAAUUAAGCCUUGGAUCACCAGAAGGGUGACUGAGCUUCUUGGGUUUGAAGAUGAAGUGCUUAUUAACUUCAUACACGGUCUUCUGGAUGCGAAGGAAGUGAAUGGGAAAGAAGUUCAAAUACAAAUUACUGGAUUUAUGGAAAAAAACACUGGAAAGUUCAUGAAAGAGCUUUGGAUGCUGCUUCUCAGUGCGCAGAAAAAUGCAAGUGGUGUUCCUCAGCAGUUCUUGGAUGCCAAGGAAGAAGAACUCCUGAAGAAGAAGGCUGAAAGUGAUCUGAUUGCAAGUGAAAUUCAGAGGAAAACAGAUAAUGAAGAUAGAGAGAUCAUGGAAGAGAGGCUGAAGAAACUGGACGGUGGAUUUGAUUCGAAGGAUAAUGAUACUGCAUCAGAUCCAACUUUGAAGCUCAGGGAUUCAGGGUACCGGGAGUGGGAUGGGAAGGAAACUGACAAGAGGAAUGGUGUUAGAGCAAGGAGCAGGCUUUCUAGGUCUCCACAUUCACCUGCAGUUUCCAUUUCACCUCAUCGAGGCUCACCUUCAAGGUCAAUGAGCAAAUCAUUUUCAAAUUCUCGAAGUUAUUCAGGUGGUAGACACAGGUCAAGGAGUAUAUCUAGGUCUCCAGAGGCUCAAGGUCCCUCUCUUUCUGCUGAAAGGAUUCGCCGUUCUCCACGACGACGAUCUAUUUCUCCUCAAAGGCAUUCCCCACGACGUUCUCCUCAUAGGAGGAUACCUUAUUCAAGAAGAUCUAGAUCUCCUUCUCCUGAACGACGCAGAAUGCAUUCUCCAGUCCAUCGUAGAUCACCAUCUUUUCGACGACGUAGAUCACCUUCUCCUGUUCGACGACAUAGAUCGCCUUCUCCUGUGCGACGACGUAGAUCGCCUUCUCCUGUGCGACGACGUAGAUCGCCUUCUCCUGUGCGACGACGUAGAUCGCCUUCUCCUGUGCGACGACGUAGAUCACCUUCUCCUGUGCGACGACGUAGAUCACCUUCUCCAGUGCGUCGGCGUAGAUCACCUUCUCCAGUGCGCCGACGUAGAUCACCUUCCCCUGGGCGUCGACACAGAUCACCUUCUCCUGGGCGCUGUCAUAGAUCACCAUCACCUCUUGGACAACGGAGGUCACUCUCACCUAGACGACGAAGAUCACUUGUUACUCGGCAUAGGUCACCUUCACCAGUACGCCGAAUACCGCCAACCAAUGUGCAGAAUAGAUCAGACUCCCCCAUGCAAUCCCCCUCCCACAUACGACAAAGGUAUGGUAGUAGAACUCCUUCACUCUCUCCAUCUCCAUUGCAACGUAGAUCACCUAUUCCUAGUAAGCAAAGAUCUCCCAAUAUCUCCCCACAGAGGUCUCCUCAAGAUGAACAGAGUUCUCAAUCUCCAAUACGGUGUGUAUCUCCAUCUCCAAUUAGGAAAAAUUCUCCAAGACACCAAAAAAGUCCCUUGCAUUCUUCUAUGGGGAGAGUCAGAACAGAAUCCGUGACUCGUCAACCCUCUAGUCCUCUGGGGUCGGCAAUAAGAGAUAAAUGUGGCAAAGCUUCACACUAUAAAUCACAAGAUUCAAUGUCCACACCUGAGAAGUCUCCAAUUCAAUCUGUAUCUCAAGAAGCAAGGAGUGAGACCAGCAGUGAAGGUCGAAGUCCUCAUGAGAGCCCUAUGAAACAAAGAAGAGAUAAGUUGUCCAAUGAAAUAAACACGAAUCCUCUGAAGAAACAAAGAACCCAAAGACCUAGCCGUGACAGCCCAGAUACAAGAGAUGAAGCAGAAGAAACGCACUAUUCCAGAGAAAGCAGAGAUCCAAAAAUGAAUUCAUCACAAAAGAUAUCAAAACAUUUCCCUGUUAGUAAGCGAAAAGGUUCACCUGCAAAAUAUCGUCACGAGGAGUUCUCUCCUGAAAGGGUGUCAGGUCAUCCAGCUUCUGAACAUCAUUAUGAUAACAAUGAUUGGAGUAAGAAAGGCCAGGAGAUAAUGCGUGAUAAAUCUUCCGGAAAGGGCAAUGAAUUUCCUGCUCAAAAGUCAUCAAUGAACAAAGAAACUUUUUCCAGGGAGAAGCCUCAAGAAUCUUAUGCUGUAGAUAUUAAAAAAUCAGAUGUCAAGGACCAAUCCCAUUCAAACUAUGCCAAAAGCAGUUAUCGGCAUCACAAAUCCGAAACCACUCAAGAUUUAGUUGGAAAAGGUGAUCGUGUCAAUCACAAUGCUUCACAUGAUUCUGUUUCUGAGGAUAGUGGUAAGCAUAGACGGGAGGGAAAGGAUAGGAAAAGGCAUAAAAGGUCUGAGAAAAAGUAUACAUCUUCUGAUGAGGAUUAUAGUGAUGAUUCUGAGUUAGAGGACAGGAAAGAGGCUAAGAGGAGGAGAAAAGAGGAGAAGAAGCUGCAGAAGGAGGAGAAGCGUCGAAGAUGUGAAGAGAAGCGACGCAGAAGGGAAGAACGGCGUGCGGAGAAGCUGAAAAUGAAGAGUAAAACAGAUGAUAUUUCAGGUGAUGAGGAGGCUAAACGAAUGGAUUAUCAUCAAAGUGAUAGUGUAGUUACACCAUCUGAGCAAAAGAAGCUUGAGAUUGAAUUGCGGAACAAGGCUCUUGAAUCCCUCAAAGCAAAGAAGGGCAUGAAUAACUAAAUGCAUCACAUCCAAGUUUUAUGUUGUUUUAUGCUUUAAAAACUUAUUGAGAAAUAUCUUAGCUUGUUUAAGAAACUUGGUUUUGCAAAUGUUAUGUUUAUUUAUUCAUCGGUAAAUGUUUGAUGUCAUCUAUCUUUAAUGCUGGCAGCGGAAAUGGAUAGAUGAUGCUUUCUGAGUAAAUCUGUCGAGUACAACUCUAUGCAGACAUUGUCCUAUAUUUACUGAUGAAUUUUAUGUCAACUCUAGAUGACCUGGUGAGAAGACCAUGUGCAGACCCUUUAUUUUGAACUUCAAUUCAGGUGAAGUUUUUCAUUCUUUUAGCAUAUUUUUUAGUUCUAGAAUAGCUUCAUAAGUAACUCUGAUGUAUUACGUAGGUGGUUCUUUCUGGUUGUAUAUUUUUCAAAACUAACAUUGGCAUCUCGGGAGUUUUUCCUGGAAUGUGUUUCCCGGAAUUCUCCAUGAUGUAUUUGUGGGGUCCGUCGCGAUUGAUGUAGCUGUAUGCUUUUAAGUUUUAAGCAUUCUGGUCUAGUGGUUUUUCGUGCAGGGCAAUUAAGAGUUUGUGUGGCUGUUA